UUAGAUUUUAAGUUAUGCAAACUAUAAGCCUUCCAAGCUUAAAAAAUAGUGUUAAAUCUAAA
rnacentral:tRNA from 1 species